ACGCUCAAUAUGCUAUCUCCUGGGACAGCCAGAGCCCCCAGCACCUGGCACUGCUCUGCCAGCCCCUGACCGGAAGCGCUUCUCCCUGCAGAGCUAUGCGGAUUAUAUCAGUGCCGAUGAGCUGGCCCAAGUGGAACAGAUGCUGGCGCACCUGACCUCUGCAUCUGCCCAGGCAGCAGCUGCCUCCCUGGUGAGUGGGAACACGGUGCACAGGUCCAUGCCACUUGAAUAUGUGUGCACUCCUACACAGGCACAACGGACAUCCACAUAGCCAGGCAUCCAACUCCAGCCCACCCUUCACUCUCCUCCCUGCAGCCCACCAGUGAGGAGGACCUCUGCCCCAUCUGCUAUGCCCACCCCAUCUCUGCUGUGUUCCAGCCCUGUGGCCACAAGUCCUGCAAAGCCUGUAUCAACCAGCACCUGAUGAACAACAAGGACUGCUUCUUCUGCAAAACCACCAUCGUGUCUGUAGAGGACUGGGAGAAGGGAGCCAAUACGAGUACUACCUCCUCAGCUGCCUAGCCCUCACAGCCUGUGCCAUCCUGGAACCUCCACCUUUGAACCCAGAGCCAGGCUGGGCCCUAUUUAUGAGCUCCCUUUGCCCUUCUCCUGUAUCCCACACCACCACAUCCAACCUCCUUGCCUGCCUGUAUCCUCAUUGGUGGGAGCCCAGCCAUGGCCCUAAUUGUGCCUGAGCUUGACUUUCAGUCAGGGCCACAGUGAGCAUUAAAUUAUUAUUCCAUACA
rnacentral:lncRNA from 1 species